AUGAAUACUAGGUGUUGGUGCCCCAAGGGCAUCGGUGCCGUCGCAAACGCAAUAAGUAUUCCACCUGGGGAGUACGUUCGCAAGAAUGAAACUCAAAGGAAUUGACGGGGACCCGCACAAGCAGUGGAGCAUGUGGUUUAAUUCGAAGCAACGCGAAGAACCUUACCAAAUCUUGACAUCCUUCUGACCGCACCGUAAUGGGUGCUUUCCUUCGGGACAGGAGUGACAGGUGGUGCAUGGCUGUCGUCAG
rnacentral:rRNA from 1 species